rnacentral:rRNA from 1 species
GUGCCAGCCGCCGCGGUAAUACCGGCGGCUCGAGUGGUGGCCGCUAUUACUGGGCUUAAAGGGUCCGUAGCUUGAUAAUUGGGUCCCUUGAGAAAUCCGCCAGCUUAACUGGCGGGCGUUCAGGGGAAACUGGUUUUCUAGGGACCGGGAGAGGUGAGAGGUACUGCCGGGGUAGGAGUGAAAUCCUGUAAUCCCGGUGGGACCACCUAUGGCGAAGGCAUCUCACCAGAACGGGUCCGACAGUGAGGGACGAAAGCUGGGGGAGCAAACCGGAUUAGAUACCCGGGUAGUCC